UUCUCCCGUAGGGGUAACCUGCGGAGGGAUCAUUACACAAAUAUGAAGGCGGGCUGGAACCUCUCGGGGUUACAGCCUUGCUGAAUUAUUCACCCUUGUCUUUUGCGUACUUCUUGUUUCCUUGGUGGGUUCGCCCACCACUAGGACAAACAUAAACCUUUUGUAAUUGCAAUCAGCGUCAGUAACAAAUUAAUAAUUACAACUUUCAACAACGGAUCUCUUGGUUCUGGCAUCGAUGAAGAACGCAGCGAAAUGCGAUAAGUAGUGUGAAUUGCAGAAUUCAGUGAAUCAUCGAAUCUUUGAACGCACAUUGCGCCCUUUGGUAUUCCAAAGGGCAUGCCUGUUCGAGCGUCAUUUGUACCCUCAAGCUUUGCUUGGUGUUGGGCGUCUUGUCUCUAGCUUUGCUGGAGACUCGCCUUAAAGUAAUUGGCAGCCGGCCUACUGGUUUCGGAGCGCAGCACAAGUCGCACUCUCUAUCAGCAAAGGUCUAGCAUCCAUUAAGCCUUUUUUUCAACUUUUGACCUCGGAUCAGGUAGGGAUACCCGCUGAACUUAAGCAUAUCAAAAGUCGGGAGGAAAAC
rnacentral:rRNA from 1 species